UUGACCUCGGAUCAGGUAGGGAUACCCGCUGAACUUAAGCAUAUCAAUAAGCGGAGGAAAAGAAACCAACAGGGAUUGCCUCAGUAACGGCGAGUGAAGCGGCAACAGCUCAAAUUUGAAAUCUGGCUCUUUCAGGGUCCGAGUUGUAAUUUGUAGAAGAUGCUUUGGGUGUGGCUCCGGUCUAAGUUCCUUGGAACAGGACGUCAUAGAGGGUGAGAAUCCCGUACGUGACUGGUUGCCUCCGCCCGUGUAAAGCUCUUUCGACGAGUCGAGUUGUUUGGGAAUGCAGCUCAAAAUGGGUGGUAAAUUUCAUCUAAAGCUAAAUAUUGGCCA
rnacentral:rRNA from 1 species